UUUUGAAUUGUGCCAAAAAAUAUAGAAAAUGAGACAAAAUGGCUCAUCAGUUUUAACUUUUCUGGGGUUUUCACAGGUUGUAUGGGUUCACAAGUUGAAGUGCAUCUUGCAGUCCACUAGGAAAGUCCUUGACUUGGCAUUUUAGGAAAACCUUUUAAAAAUCAUUCCCCAUGAAAGGUGUCAGUAAGCUAUAUUUUGGCUUCGACAGAUUCCUUCAUCCUCAGGUUCUUGGAGUUUGAUAAAAUAAUGUAGUUGGCAUAAUUUUCCAAGCAUCACUUGACUUAGAGGUACCUCCUAUGGUAUGGAAUCCUCCAGAAGGCUUCCCUGUUCUGUUCUGUGCAUUUCACAAGGAGACCCCAAGACAUGGCCUCCGGGCCGAGUCGGAGGAGUGUGACAAGCCCGGCGUGGGCCCUGUGCUCGGCUCUGCACCGCUCCCUCCCCGUGGGCACCCCUUCCUCCUUGCUCCUGAGGACGUCCCUGCAGGGGGGCAGAGCGCAGAUGACGAGCUGGGGCCCUGGUUCACUGGACAGCGAGGGCUGUGGCGUCCAGGGCUCCUCCGCAGGGACAGGCGGCUGAGGAGGGGAGCUAGCAGCUUCAUGGAACAAUGCAAGCUGUCCGAGACUUGGGCACGUCGUCCCCUGUCUGCCGAGUCCCUUCCUCCUCGUGUGCCAGGCCAGCUCCUCCUGCGUCCUGACGUCUGAUGCUCCGUGUGUGCCUGUUCUUUCCCUCCUUUCCUCCUCCUGUGCUUCUUACGGCCUUACUCGUCUGAGGCCGUCAGCAGGGGUGUGCACAGCCCCCCUCCGUUGUGGCUCGUGCUCUCAUCCCCCAGCUAGGCCCGAAGGCACUCGGUUCCUGGGUGCCGUCCUGCAGCUCUCGUGCCUUAUCUUGUAGCCCUCCCAACCGUCCAGUGCCGAGUGGGUGCUCAGGGGGACCCUUCGGCCGGGGUGGGUGUGUAGUCCUGUUUGGAGGACAAGCAGGUCUGCCCAUGUGAAAGCCCACAGACGCAUACAGGGUCACAUCAGAAGGAAAUUGCAGACUGGGUGUGGAUGAAAGUAAGGCACGCUGUGCUUGGAGCAGCAGCAGCUCGGUGGCUGUGCUUGACCUUGGGGUCACCUGAGGAGAGCACACGAUACCGGGUGGUGAGCCGGGACGGCAUGGCCGUUCAGAUGCAAGGUGGUGGACGUGGCGGAUUCAGGCAGCCAGUGCACUUGCUUCCGUGACAGCUUGACGCUCGGCCUCUGCUCGUGGAUGUGCUCGUGGAAUAAUAGGCCUUUCAGCUCGGUUCCUGAGGGUCCGUGCUCCCAAGCUCAUCUGUUUGCUGCUUCCCACAGUGGGAAGCCAUUGGGAUAUUGAAUGGGAGUUGUUCCACACUGAGUCCCCCAUGCUGGGGUGCAGGGGGUCCCUCUGGGUGCGGCCCUUGGUGAUGGGCAGCCGGGCAGGUGCGCAAGAGGAGGACCAGGAUAGAAGGACGUCACACCUGAGGUGGAGCCAGAAGGUCUCAGCGGACCACAGACCCAGUGUGACCCGUGCUGCUGCCAAAAAUCAGUACUCACGUGACAGACCAGGGCUGCAACUCCGUUAACACUUGGUCCUUGAACAUUUGAGGCUGUCGCACCACACAGGAAUAAAAGGAUAGGGGAUCCCUGGGUGGCUCAGCGGUUGAACGUCUGCC